UACGUAGGGACCAAGCGUUGUUCGGAUUUACUGGGCGUAAAGGGCGCGUAGGCGGCAAUUCAAGUCAGCUGUGAAAUCUCCGGGCUUAACUCGGAACGGUCAGCUGAUACUGCUUUGCUAGAGGGCAGAAGGGGCAAUCGGAAUUCUUGGUGUAGCGGUGAAAUGCGUAGAUAUCAAGAGGAACACCUGAGGUGAAGACGGGUUGCUGGGCUGACACUGACGCUGAGGCGCGAAAGCUAGGGUAGCAAACGGG
rnacentral:rRNA from 1 species